rnacentral:rRNA from 1 species
GAUGAACGCUGGCGGCGUGCCUAAUACAUGCAAGUCGAGCGAACAGAUAAGGAGCUUGCUCCUUUGACGUUAGCGGCGGACGGGUGAGUAACACGUGGAUAACCUACCUAUAAGACUGGGAUAACUUCGGGAAACCGGAGCUAAUACCGGAUAACAUAUUGAACCGCAUGGUUCAAUAGUGAAAGGCGGCUUUGCUGUCACUUAUAGAUGGAUCCGCGCCGUAUUAGCUAGUUGGUAAGGUAACGGCUUACCAAGGCAACGAUACGUAGCCGACCUGAGAGGGUGAUCGGCCACACUGGAACUGAGACACGGUCCAGACUCCUACGGGAGGCAGCAGUAGGGAAUCUUCCGCAAUGGGCGAAAGCCUGACGGAGCAACGCCGCGUGGGUGAUGAAGGUCUUCGGAUCGUAAAACUCUGUUAUCAGGGAAGAACAAAUGUGUAAGUAACUGUGCACAUCUUGACGGUACCUGAUCAGAAAGCCACGGCUAACUACGUG